UACAGAGGGGGCAAGCGUUGUUCGGAAUUACUGGGCGUAAAGGGCGCGUAGGCGGCCUGCUAAGUCGAACGUGAAAUCCCCGGGCUCAACCCGGGAACUGCGUCUGAUACUGGCAGGCUUGAAUCCGGGAGAGGGAUGCGGAAUUCCAGGUGUAGCGGUGAAAUGCGCAGAUAUCAGGAGGAACACCAAUGGCGAAGGCAGCUCGCUGGGACGGUACUGACGCUGAGGCGCGAAAGCGUGGGGAGCAAACAGG
rnacentral:rRNA from 1 species